GACGAACGCUGGCGGCGUGCCUAAUACAUGCAAGUUGAGCGCUGAAGGUUGGUACUUGUACCAACUGGAUGAGCAGCGAACGGGUGAGUAACGCGUGGGGAAUCUGCCUCUGAGCGGGGGACAACAUUUGGAAACGAAUGCUAAUACCGCAUAAAAACUUUAAACACAAGUUUUAAGUUUGAAAGAUGCAAUUGCAUCACUCAAAGAUGAUCCCGCGUUGUAUUAGCUAGUUGGUGAGGUAAAGGCUCACCAAGGCGAUGAUACAUAGCCGACCUGAGAGGGUGAUCGGCCACAUUGGGACUGAGACACGGCCCAAACUCCUACGGGAGGCAGCAGUAGGGAAUCUUCGGCAAUGGACGAAAGUCUGACCGAGCAACGCCGCGUGAGUGAAGAAGGUUUUCGGAUCGUAAAACUCUGUUGGUAGAGAAGAACGUUGGUGAGAGUGGAAAGCUCAUCAAGUGACGGUAACUACCCAGAAAGGGACGGCUAACUACGUG
rnacentral:rRNA from 1 species